rnacentral:rRNA from 1 species
GGGAAUAUUGCACAAUGGGCGCAAGCCUGAUGCAGCCAUGCCGCGUGUAUGAAGAAGGCCUUCGGGUUGUAAAGUACUUUCAGCGAGGAGGAAGGCAUUAAGGUUAAUAACCUUAGUGAUUGACGUUACUCGCAGAAGAAGCACCGGCUAACUCCGUGCCAGCAGCCGCGGUAAUACGGAGGGUGCAAGCGUUAAUCGGAAUUACUGGGCGUAAAGCGCACGCAGGCGGUCUGUUAAGUCAGAUGUGAAAUCCCCGGGCUCAACCUGGGAACUGCAUUUGAAACUGGCAGGCUUGAGUCUUGUAGAGGGGGGUAGAAUUCCAGGUGUAGCGGUGAAAUGCGUAGAGAUCUGGAGGAAUACCGGUGGCGAAGGCGGCCCCCUGGACAAAGACUGACGCUCAGGUGCGAAAGCGUGGGGAGCAAACAGG